rnacentral:rRNA from 1 species
UGGGGAAUAUUGGACAAUGGGCGCAAGCCUGAUCCAGCCAUGCCGCGUGAGUGAUGAAGGCCUUAGGGUUGUAAAGCUCUUUCGCCGACGAAGAUAAUGACGGUAGUCGGAGAAGAAGCCCCGGCUAACUUCGUGCCAGCAGCCGCGGUAAUACGAAGGGGGCUAGCGUUGUUCGGAAUCACUGGGCGUAAAGCGCACGUAGGCGGAUUGUUAAGUCAGGGGUGAAAGCCUGGAGCUCAACUCCAGAACUGCCCUUGAUACUGGCAAUCUCGAGUCCGGAAGAGGUAAGUGGAACUGCGAGUGUAGAGGUGAAAUUCGUAGAUAUUCGCAAGAACACCAGUGGCGAAGGCGGCUUACUGGUCCGGUACUGACGCUGAGGUGCGAAAGCGUGGGGAGCAAACAGAAUUAGAUACCCUGGUAGUCCACGCCGUAAACGAUGGAGGCUAGCCGUUGGCGAGCAUGCUCGUCAGUGGCGCAGCUAACGCAUUAAGCCUCCCGCCUGGGGAGUACGGUCGCAAGAUUAAAACUCAAAGGAAUUGAC